UCCGUUCGCUGCAUUCCC
rnacentral:miRNA from 1 species